AGUCUGCAGCCGCGACGUCUGAUGUUAGGGACUAGAACUGAGAUCUCUGCUGUGGGCCACCUUCUUCUCUGCUGAUCUCUUCCUGGGACUUCCAGACACAGAGACCUCAGUAGGAGCUGCUGCUUCCAAGAAGGUACAUUGAGAAAGAGGGUACCUGAAUACUGUAAUACUGUACCAGACCGAUGGCCACCUGAUAUGGGCUCUGAGCAAGGUAAGAAUUCCAACCCAUGUAGUAAAUAUCGGUAUCUAAAUAUAUAUUAAGAGAAGUCUUCAUAUUGUCCUCACACCGUAAGUGAGUGAUCUUGUACAACAUCUGGUGUGCAAUC
rnacentral:lncRNA from 10 species